UGCCAGCAGCCGCGGUAAUACGGAGGGUGCAAACGUUAAUCGGAAUUACUGGGCGUAAAGCGUGCGUAGGCGGUUUGUUAAGCAAGAUGUGAAAGCCCAGGGCUCAACCUUGGAACUGCAUUUUGAACUGGCAGGCUAGAGUACUGUAGAGGGUGGUGGAAUUUCCAGUGUAGCGGUGAAAUGCGUAGAGAUUGGAAGGAACAUCAGUGGCGAAGGCGGCCACCUGGACAGAUACUGACGCUGAGGCACGAAAGUGUGGGGAGCAAACAGGAUUAGAUA
rnacentral:rRNA from 1 species